UCCAAUACCAACAUUAGUGUGCGAUGGAAGGACGCUUAGGGCUAAGGGGGCUAGCGGAUGGAAGUGCUAGUCUAAGGUCGUAGGAGGUUAUACAGGCAAAUCCGUAUAACAAUACUCCGAGAACUGAAAGGCUUUUUGAAGUCUUCGGAUGGAUAGAAGAACCCCUGAUGCCGUCGAGCCAAGAAAAGUUUCUAAGUUUAGCUAAUGUUGCCCGUACCGUAAACCGACACAGGUGGGUGGGAUGAGUAUUCUAAGGCGCGUGGAAGAACUCUCUUUAAGGAACUCUGCAAAAUAGCACCGUAUCUUCGGUAUAAGGUGUGGUUAGCUUUGUAUUAGGAUUUACUCCGAAAGCAAGGAAACUUACAACAAAGAGUCCCUCCCGACUGUUUACCAAAAACACAGCACUCUGCUAACUCGUAAGAGGAUGUAUAGGGUGUGACGCCUGCCCGGUGCUCGAAGGUUAAUUGAUGGGGUUAGCAUUAGCGAAGCUCUUGAUCGAAGCCCGAGUAAACGGCGGCCGUAACUAUAACGGUCCUAAGGUAGCGAAAUUCCUUGUCGGUUAAAUACCGACCUGCAUGAAUGGCGUAACGAGAUGGGAGCUGUCUCAAAGAGGGAUCCAGUGAAAUUGUAGUGGAGGUGAAAAUUCCUCCUACCCGCGGCAAGACGGAAAGACCCCGUGGACCUUUACUACAGCUUGACACUGCUACUUGGAUAAGAAUGUGCAGGAUAGGUGGGAGGCUUUGAGUAUAUGACGCCAGUUGUAUAUGAGCCAUUGUUGAGAUACCACUCUUUCUUAUUUGGGUAGCUAACCAGCUUGAGUUAUCCUCAAGUGGGACAAUGUCUGGUGGGUAGUUUGACUGGGGCGGUCGCCUCCCAAAUAAUAACGGAGGCUUACAAAGGUUGGCUCAGAACGGUUGGAAAUCGUUCGUAGAGUAUAAAGGUAUAAGCCAGCUUAACUGCAAGACAUACAAGUCAAGCAGAGACGAAAGUCGGUCUUAGUGAUCCGGUGGUUCUGUGUGGAAGGGCCAUCGCUCAAAGGAUAAAAGGUACCCCGGGGAUAACAGGCUGAUCUCCCCCAAGAGCUCACAUCGACGGGGAGGUUUGGCACCUCGAUGUCGGCUCAUCGCAUCCUGGGGCUGGAGCAGGUCCCAAGGGUAUGGCUGUUCGCCAUUUAAAGCGGUACGCGAGCUGGGUUCAGAACGUCGUGAGACAGUUCGGUCCCUAUCUGCCGUGGGCGUAAGAAGAUUGAAGAGAUUUGACCCUAGUACGAGAGGACCGGGUUGAACAAACCACUGGUGUAGCUGUUGUUCUGCCAAGAGCAUCGCAGCGUAGCUAAGUUUGGAAAGGAUAAACGCUGAAAGCAUCUAAGCGUGAAGCCAACUCUAAGAUGAAUCUUCUCUAAGCUCUCUAGAAGACUACUAGUUUGAUAGGCUGGGUGUGUAAUGGAUGAAAGUCCUUUAGCUGACCAGUACUAAUAGAGCGUUUGGCUUAUCUUUAAUAAAGCAU
rnacentral:rRNA from 2 species